AACCUGCUUGCAGGAGGGAGGUUCCUAAGGAGUGUUCAGUGAGGGGGGUGAAGUCGUAACAAGGUAUCCCUACGGGAACGUGGGGAUGGAUCACCUCCUUU
rnacentral:rRNA from 1 species